AGUGAGCAGAGACAGACCCUCCUUCAACCCUGUCCACACCUAAAUAGAAGAGGCUAUUUCAGCCACUCAUGGAGGACAAAGCUGAUUUUAAAAUAAAUAUUUGUUUUGAAAAACCAAUUUGUUUCAGCAUGUAGCCUUCAUCUGGAUUUUAUAGACAGAAGAGGUCAUUUGGGACAUACUGUAGAACAAAAGGGGCUUUUCGUCAACACCUCCUAUGGCUCUCCCCCAGUCAGGCUCCACAGCAGGUCAGGGGCUACCAGGACAGUCAGUAUAGCCAGGGCUAACAGCCACAGCAUCAGUCUCACCAGAUUCAGCACACACCACUGGGCCCACCGACGCAUUGUAUCUGGAUAGAAUAGGUCCUAAGGGUGGUCAAUAUAGUGGCAUCAAUACAAUGAUCCUAUUGAAUUAUUCUGAUUCUAUGUGGAAUUCUCUGUGCAUCAAUGUCAGUAUAAUUUGGAGUGAAAACAGAGAAAAUGAAGGUGUUAUGAUUAGUGUCUUAUCUUUUGUCCACUCACCUUGCAAUCUUGACAUAAAACUGUGCCUGAUGUUUAUGUUGUUGUGAUUUUCCAAACAUUGUGCUCUAGAAUUCAGAGGUGAUUUAGAACAGGUCAGCGGCACUUCCAGUUAUGAGAUGGGAAAAUAACAAUUAUGAAAGCUGUACAAUUUGUAUGGAUUAACGCAAAGACAUUUAAAACCUAGGCUAGCCGACUGCUUGAAAUCAUACUAUCUUUCGGGGAAGGUGUAUUGCUGUUAAGAAUGUCAAUAAACCACUCCCAUGAAGCGAUGGACAACAAGGAUGCAUUUGAUUGUUUCAUUUCUGUGAAACCGAAAGUAAAAUAUCGACUUGAGGAGAGCAACUGAAAAACUGUUUGAUAUUCAUUGUUGAAGUAUCCAGCAGCAAAGACAGAUGAUGGGGAAAGAGAACCAACAUAGACCAUUAACCAUGAGCUAUAGAGACGCCCUUCAAACGCAAUCUAACACAGUAAGGACUUCUGCUAGACCAGCAGCCUCUACUACUGCCCAGAAUAGUUACCUGACUAGACUGAGGAGCAGCCUGCAUGACCUGAUGAACCAGCACCCAGAGGGAGUACCCCUUUCCCGUAUGAGUCAGGCCUGCUCUCUCCUCCUGCACCCGGAGGUACUUAAGCCCUACCCCUCCACCAGGUACCUCUUGGCCUCCCUCCCCGAUGUGGUGAGGCUUCAGGGGAUCGGGGUACAGACACUGGUGCUCCCAGCACUAGGCCAUUGUGGAGGUGGGACGGAUGCCGGUCGUGUUGGUUGUCGCUAG
rnacentral:lncRNA from 8 species